rnacentral:ncRNA from 1 species
UCCCGAAAAGCCAAACCCUCUGAGAGGGGGGCACGGAAAGCUACGGGGCUUUUAUUUAAGAAGGCCGGGCUGCCGAAG